UCAAAAACCUUCAUUUCUUUUCAACUGAAAAAAAGAAAGACAUGAACAUCUUGAAUAACUUGGGGGUGAGUAAAUUAUCAGGAAAUUUUAAUUCUGAAGUGAAUUAAUCCUUUAAAAAAUCAGCUCACUCAGGGCGGAUCUAUGCUAAAACGGCAGUGUCCGUCAAGAGUUGUGGGAGGGGCCUGUGCAAAUUUAUGUCACUUUGCCAAUCUGUGAACAGCUUGAUCUGACAAAGUGCUCAUGAUUUGUGGGGAUUAGAAGCACUGGGUGGAUUUUUAUAAUUAUAGGGUGGUUGUGUAGACACACUGCCAACACACAUUUAUGUCCAAACAUCAUGUAAAAGUGAAUUUUGCAUCCAACGUCCCCUUUAACAAAGCCAAGUAAAACAUCUUAUAUAUAGAUAUACUUUUGUGAGAUCCCCUUAUGUACCUAUAUUUAUCUGUUCUUACAGAGAAAACAAGAGAAAGUGGCAGUGAGAGGGAGAAAGAUUGACAAGAGACGAAACCUGCCUUCCAUCAGCCUCUAAUUGGAGUGAAGGAAGAACUAAUCACUGGAUUUGCCAAAGUUUUCCAGUAGUGGCCGACCAUUGAUGUGCUACUACAUGAACAAUUGGUAUUUCCCUAAACGGUGUGCACAAAUGUUCUCCUCCCAUCUAAGUGGACGAUGCUUGACCAGAAUAAGCUGCGAUAUGGACCAGAUGUUUUGCCGCAAA